CGUGGGUUUUACUUCUUUUCCCGAUUUUCUCCCCCAUCCCACUGGGGGGGGGGGGGGGGGGGGGGGAGUGAGUGAGCAGUUGCGUGGUGCUUAGUUGCUGGCUGGGGUUUAACCAUGACAGUCCAUUUUGACACAAAAUGUGG